rnacentral:lncRNA from 1 species
GGAAGAGAGAGAGAGGGAAGGAUCUAUGAACCAUAGAGAAAGAGACAAUCUACAUUGGCUGGAUUUACCGUGUACGAGCUGGACUGUUUUGGACUUACCUGUUGGCGUUUAGACCUGGACCUACCGAGAACCAGAUUUGUGUACCGAACCCUGCUGUCCUUGACCUUACCUGCGGCCUGGGUGGACCAGGACAGCGAAACAAACACACAGGAAGAAUGGAUUAAGAUCACACCCCUGCUUUCCGCUUGGAGCGCUCUGGUGCCCUCACCUUGAGGGCAUCUGAAGAGGCUGCCAGGGUUGCAAGGACCAUCCAGGAGGAAGAGUGUACAGGUGUAGUCCGGGUGCUGAAGCCACGACACGUGAAGGCGAAGAAAAGGCUUGUGUGGUAGCCAGAGAGGGUGACCCGGAUGAUAGCCGACUGGUGGACAGUAUACUAUCCUGUUUCCUGAGGUCCAGAGGGCAGUGGAGGAACGCAGGGUACGGGAUGGGACCUUGCCCCCCCGACCUGACCAGGAGGACUCGCGC